rnacentral:rRNA from 1 species
GACGAACGCUGGCGGCGUGCUUAACACAUGCAAGUCGAACGGAAAGGCCCUGCUUUUGUUGGUUUCUCGAUUGGCGAACGGGUGAGUAACACGUGAGUAACCUGUCCUUGUCUUUGUGGUAACUUCAGGAAACUGGGGCUAAUACCGCAUAUGAUCUCCUGCUGCAUGGUGUGGGUUGGUAAGUGUCGGCGUUUGUGGAUGUACUCGCUGCUUAUCAGCUUGUUGGUGGGGUAGUGGCUUACCAAGGCUUUGACGGGUAGCCGGCCUGAGAGGGUGACGGGCCACAUUGGGACUGCGAUACGGACCAGAAGCGUAUGGGAGGCAGCAGUGGGGAAUAUUGCAGAAUGGGCGGAAGCCUGAUGCAGCAACGCCGCGUGCGGGAUGCCGGGCUUCGGGUUGUAAACCGCUUUCGCCUGUGACGAAGCGUGAGUGACGGUAAUGGGUAAAGAAGCACCGGCUAACUACGUG